UCUAAUCAACAAUUGAUUGACACCCUGAC
rnacentral:piRNA from 1 species